ACGAGGGGGUGCCCAUCUUUACAGGGCUGAGAUUAUACCCUUAGGACCCGAUCCGGAUAAUGCCGGCGUGGGGAAACGUU
rnacentral:ncRNA from 1 species